GGGCGCCCAUGUAUGGCUAAGGCUGAGCCUUAGCCGCGGUCGACCCGGGUUCGAAUCCGGACCUGUGGACCUUUGCCGCAUCUCUCUCUCUCUGUUUCCCCUCAUUCCAUGACUCUUAGUCACCAAAAAAAAAAAAAGGUCUAUAGCAUGUUAGGUAUGUUAGGAAUGUUAGCUUAGUAUAGUGCGUGAUGAAAAAAGUCGUGUUAAAAAAAAAAAAAAAAAGUCAAUAGUAUAGCAUGUUAGGUAUGUUAGGAAUGUUAGCCAAGAUAGUGCGUGAUGAAAAGAUUUCGUGAUAAGUCAGGAUGUUAGGAAUGUUAGCCAAGAUAGUGCGUGAUGAAAAGAUUUCGUGAUAAGUCAGGAUGUUAGCAGUGGACUUUUCACCAUCAUUUGAAAAGUAAAUGGUUACGUCACAAUAUAUAGUUUCAGUGCCUUGCUUUUGGCACACUUCAGCACAGUGGAAGCUUGAGAGUAAAACCAGGUCUUCUGGUUCAGGGCCAGUCUCCCAAAUCACUGUACCAACCUGCUGUAUGGAGUAUAAUCAUUUGCAUUGAACACAAUUGUAUGAAUCAUAAAUCUUUAAUAAAUAAAUAAAAUUAAAUGUUAUCAGAUCUCAA